rnacentral:rRNA from 1 species
CACGUAGGCGGAUCGUUAAGUCGGAGGUGAAAUCCUGGAGCUCAACUCCAGAACUGCCUUCGAUACUGGCGAUCUUGGAGUCCGGGAGAGGUGAGUGGAACUCCGAGUGUAGAGGUGAAAUUCGUAGAUAUUCGGAAGAACACCAGUGGCGAAGGCGGCUCACUGGCCCGGUACUGACGCUGAGGUGCGAAAGCGUGGGGAGCAAACA